CGGAAACAGAUACAUAAGGAACAAACUAUUUAAAAUCGUGAAGAUAUUACUCAAAGCGAAAAACAAACGCCGUGCGAUAUAUGGAAAGACGGAUAUAAAAGCACGAGCCAGGAUACAACGGUUAAAGCCACAGCCCAUAAGGAAGUCUCACUGAAGUAAAGUUGCACCCCGAUCCGAUGCAUGUGGAAGAAGUUAUGGUAAUUAUAAAAUUAUUACUCAAAGCCGAGACGAGUCACAAAA